UUGGUCGAUAUAUGCAGGAGAAAAAGGGGAGUUCCCUUCCAAGAACCCUAACUCACAAAAUUGCCAAAAUCAAAGAGAAAUCAAGCCAAGAAUUUGGGGCUUUUAAUAAAAUCGUGAUCACCAAGCUUAGGGGAUCACAAGUUUGACGCGCAACAAGCUAGGUGGAAGCUUGAUGAGGAAGCGGGUCAAACGGAGCGCGUACGGAAAGAAAAGCGUGGCAUGGAUGCAAGGACACUUGCAUUUAAAGAUGACAAGAGCUGAACAAAUUAAGGAUAUGAUAGAGGAACGGUUCGAAGUAUGACGAUAGGAGCAUGCUCACUAAGGACUAAAUCGCGUAACGACCGCGAACAAGGUUAAUGGCAAGAAACGCCCGUCGGGGCAAGCAUUACAAGUUUGACGCGCAACAAGCUAGGUGGAAGCUUGAUGAGGAAGCGGGUCAAACGGAGCGCGUACGGAAAGAAAAGCGUGGCAUGGAUGCAAGGAGCGAUUAGCGAUUCGGAUAAUUGCUUCGCCAUAGAAUAUGUGUUAAUAAAAGCAAGGUAUAAAUCGGGUCUAAUUGUUAACCCGGGCCAGGUACGCAUCAAUGAGAUUAUAUUUUAAAUGUGCGAUUUUGAUCAUCAUUGUAGUGAAAGUCCUUCGUCGUAAAUGAGGGACUAAUGUAGAUAAAUAUGCCUUUGAUGGGUAAAUCGGGCAAACGACCCUUAUGGGUGGUUUGGGAAUCACGUAUUAUGAUCAUGUAAUCCUUAGAUAAACAUCAAGGCUAUAGGCAUAAAACUUUGUGGGUCAAAUGCCUAGGAAUGGGUCUUUUUCAUAAAAUGACAAACCGAGAUGUAAAACGCUACAUAAGUAGUUUACUAUAUCAAAUCCACCACAAAUAUAUUUGUGGUGGAAGACCUUUUGAAAAAAAAAACUAAUGUGAAAAUUUUGGUGCUAAAAGUAAAUGAGCGAGCUUAUUGCCUAAAAGGACAUAAAUACCCUUAACGGGUCAAAAUAAGAUUUUAAGUAAAAGCGAGUCAAUAAUGCGUAGAAAUCCGUAAUUGGAACCUAAUAUGAUAGGUAAUAUUGGAAUUAAAGGGUUCAUGAGAAAUGGGGUCAAACAAAUACAAUUGUUUGAUAAAAUGCGUAAACGGGUUAAAAUUCGGUAAAAAGGUAACGACUCGAAGGCUUAGAAGUCUUAAAAUUUCUUAUGUUGGAUGUAGGAUUUUAACUCCAUAAGAUGGAGGAUUCAAUUACGGACACGUAUGAAAAAGAAUCGGGUAAAACGGAUCAAUAACGAAGGAGUUAUGGUCGUUUCCAUGAAAACUGGCAUAGCUGAAACUGAGUUGUAGAUCUGCUGAUGCAGGGGCCACCGUAAAUUACGGUGUCCACCGUAAUUUACGGUGGAGUUGAAAAAUGUUACGGUGGAUCUCUUCUGAUUUACGGUGGAAGGAUAAAGUUUCAGGGGCUACCGACCCACCGUAAUUUACGGUGGGCCCCGUAUAAAAAUGUAUUUUUUUAGCAAGUUUCGUUUCCCGAACUCGUUUUGACACAUUUUAAUCUCCGUAGGACUAAAGCAUUUCAUG